AGUCUCGUGGUCCAACGGUACGACGCCAGCAAUCCUCCCAAUUGAGAUCAGCCGGAUAUUGCGGGUUCAAUUCCCGCCGGGGCGA